rnacentral:rRNA from 1 species
CAGCAGCCGCGGUAAUACGUAGGUGGCAAGCGUUGUCCGGAAUUAUUGGGCGUAAAGGGCUCGCAGGCGGUUUCUUAAGUCUGAUGUGAAAGCCCCCGGCUCAACCGGGGAGGGUCAUUGGAAACUGGGAAGCUUGAGUGCAGAAGAGGAGAGUGGAAUUCCACGUGUAGCGGUGAAAUGCGUAGAGAUGUGGAGGAACACCAGUGGCGAAGGCGACUCUCUGGUCUGUAACUGACGCUGAGGAGCGAAAGCGUGGGGAGCGAACAGGAUUAGAUACCCCAGUAGUCCCUGUCUCUUAUAC